UACACAUGCAGUCGAGCGGUAGCACNGGAGCUUGCUCUUNGGUGACGAGCGGCGGACGGGUGAAGUAAUGUCUGGGAACUGCCUGAUGGAGGGGAUAACUACUGGAACGGUAGCUAAUACCGCAUAACGUCUUCGGACCAAGAGGGGACUUCGGCCUCUUGCCAUCAGAUGUGCCAGAUGGAUUAGCUAGUAGGUGAGGUAAUGGCUCACCUAGGCGACGAUCCCUAGCUGGUCUGAGAGGAUGACCAGCCACACUGGAACUGAGACACGNUCCAGACUCCUACGGAGGCAGCAGUGGGGAAUAUUGCACAAUGGGCGCA
rnacentral:rRNA from 1 species